rnacentral:ribozyme from 1 species
AUCCGAAUAGUUCUGCAAAAGGGUUGGAUCCGACGCCUCUAGAAGGCUACUAUAGGCUCUCCUUCUCAACUCCUACUCAAUACGUCCACGUCGUGCAGAACGGUAACUUGUUGCUCAGAUCCAAGCUUGGGUACACGGGGAAACCCAACCCCUCGGGCGGAUGAGCGGCAAGGCAGAAUUGAGAGGU